AUGAACGCUGGCGGCGUGCCUAAUACAUGCAAGUCGAGCGAACAGAUGAGGAGCUUGCUCCUCUGACGUUAGCGGCGGACGGGUGAGUAACACGUGGAUAACCUACCUAUAAGACUGGGAUAACUUCGGGAAACCGGAGCUAAUACCGGAUAAUAUAUUGAACCGCAUGGUUCAAUAGUGAAAGACGGUUUUGCUGUCACUUAUAGAUGGAUCCGCGCCGCAUUAGCUAGUUGGUAAGGUAACGGCUUACCAAGGCGACGAUGCGUAGCUGACCUGAGAGGGUGAUCGGCCACACUGGAACUGAGACACGGUCCAGACUCCUACGGGAGGCAGCAGUAGGGAAUCUUCCGCAAUGGGCGAAAGCCUGACGGAGCAACGCCGCGUGAGUGAUGAAGGUCUUCGGAUCGUAAAACUCUGUUAUUAGGGAAGAACAAAUGUGUAAGUAACUAUGCACGUCUUGACGGUACCUAAUCAGAAAGCCACGGCUAACUACGUG
rnacentral:rRNA from 1 species